rnacentral:lncRNA from 1 species
CUUAGAGAAGUGACUCUCUUCUGCUCCGUUCCCGAAAAUGAAAUGUUCUAUCCCCCGAGAUUUCAGGAUUUUACACGUCGCUGUGAGCCGUUUAGGAUUAAAUAGUUAGGGACUUUAAAGACUAUUUUUAAAAUGUGCAUGGCCUUCUGAAGGAGCUGAAGUUUUGCUCAGCAGCUCUCUUCAAGGGGACUCAAGAUUGUCCCGAGUUUCUUAACUGAACACGGUGAGUUCUUCAGAGACAGUAUUGCAGUAUCACCAGAAGACUACCAGUCUUAAGAAUAGUAUUCCCUCCUAGAAAGGCUGCUUUGGAGGGAGACUGAGGCACAUGACUGAGGCCUUUUGCCCUGAUUGCAAAGAUGUUUUGCUGCCAUUGCUGCUGGAGGGCAGACAGCAUCUCAUGACAAGGAAUUCCAGAGGUUACCUGCAGCUUGAUUGAUACAACCUUCUUGUGUUUGCUUCAAAUGUGUCUCCUGCUCCUCAGAUUGGAAGAGACAGUGAGGAACAUGUGGUCUCCAAAGCCUCUCCAUGUACUCCGGUUAAGGCACUAGACACUCUUCACCCAUGAGACCAGCUGGAGAAAUGUUAGUACUAUUAGCAAGGAUUUGUAGCACAGCUUACUGCUGACAUACAGAAUAAUUAAGCAAAUGGAGAUAAAUAGAAAGCAUGAUUAAAAAUUACCUUGGUUGAAUAAAGC